GCAAGUCAAACUGCACAAUCUCUCCAGGUGAUUGUGAGAAUAUAAAACACCAUCACAGUUGCCUGCAGAGAUUACUCAGUCAGCCUUA
rnacentral:pre_miRNA from 1 species